rnacentral:rRNA from 1 species
UACGUAGGGGGCAAGCGUUGUCCGGAAUCAUUGGGCGUAAAGAGCGUGUAGGCGGCCAGGCAAGUCCGUUGUGAAAACUAGAGGCUUAACCUCUAGACGUCGAUGGAAACUGUUUGGCUAGAGUCCGGAAGAGGAGAAUGGAAUUCCUGGUGUAGCGGUGAAAUGCGCAGAUAUCAGGAAGAACACCCGUGGCUAAGGCGGUUCUCUAGUACGGUACUGACGCUGAGACGCGAAAGCGUGGGGAGCGAACAGG